rnacentral:rRNA from 1 species
CAAUAGCGUAUAUUAACGUUGUUGCAGUUAAAAAGCUCGUAGUUGGAUUUCUGGAGGGAGCGUCGGCCCGUAUUUACGAGUGCGUGACGUCUCUGUCCAUCCUUGCGGGAAGGCACGGCAUUGAUUUGUUGUGUCGGAUCGCAUCAUUUACUGUGAAAAAAUUAGAGUGUUCAAAGCAGGCUUUCGCUUGAAUACAUUAGCAUGGAAUAAUAAGAUAGGACGUGGGUGCUAUUUUGUUGGUUGAGCCUAAAGUAAUGAUUAAUAGGGAUAGUUGGGGGCACCUGUAUUGCGUUGUCAGAGGUGAAAUUCUUGGAUUUACGCAAGACAAACAGCUGCGAAAGCGUCUGCCAAGGAUGUUUUCAUUAA